rnacentral:rRNA from 1 species
AGUGAACGCUGGCGGUAGGCCUAACACAUGCAAGUCGAACGGCAGCACAGUAAGAGCUUGCUCUUACGGGUGGCGAGUGGCGGACGGGUGAGGAAUACAUCGGAAUCUACUUUUUCGUGGGGGAUAACGUAGGGAAACUUACGCUAAUACCGCAUACGACCUACGGGUGAAAGCAGGGGAUCUUCGGACCUUGCGCGAUUGAAUGAGCCGAUGCCGGAUUAGCUAGUUGGCGGGGGAAAGGCCCACCAAGUCGACGAUCCGUAGCUGGUCUGAGAGGAUGAUCAGCCACACUGGAACGGAGACACGGCCCAAACGCCUACGGGAGGCAGCAGUGGGGAAUAUUGGACGAUGGGCGCAAGCCUGAUCCAGCCAUACCGCGUGGGUGAAGAAGGCCUUCGGGUUGUAAAGCCCUUUUGUUGGGAAAGAAAAGCAGCAGGUUAAUACCCCGCUGUUCUGACGGUACCCAAAGAAUAAGCACCGGCUAACUUCGUG